UCUUUUUAAAUUGAAUUUUUUUUUUGUUCUUAUAUAAGAUUUAGUUAUUGUAUUUUAGUGGGUUCUCUUAAUGCCAGAUCGAUAUUUUUUUUUAGUCCUGUAAGUAUGAUUGUGAGUUUCGCUCAAGGUACCAAUUCUGUUGUAAAGUGACGAUGCUCAUAAUUAAUACAAGAUAUAAACACACAUCUUUAGUGCCAUAGGAGAUACUGUUAUUUAAAAAAAAAGAUGUAUGAGUCUUAAAAUGUAGGCCAGUAAAAAUUCUUCUAAGUGAACUGUAAUUUGUAUCAUAAUCCUCAGCAUCAAAAUCAAUGUAAUAUUUUGGUCGUAAUUUUUAGUCAGCUAAGAAAUCAUUAAACAUGAUCAAAUCAUAUGUGUAUGUGUCUAUAUAUAUACACAUAUAUUUGUGUGUAUGGUACAUUGGUACCCGCAUUAUGUGGUGCUGGUGAAUAGUUUUUGACGGUUUUUGAAUUUUUGAUGGUUAUCUAUGUUUCACGACAGUUGCUAGAACGGUGUAAUCGAGGGGGAGAAUGGCUUGAUUUGGGUUGUUCCUAUUUAUUAUUUAAACACAAGUCUGAGAUGUAGGCCAACAAGAAGGUGCUGACAUAGUGAGAUACAGGUCAAUCUAAUCCGGCUUCUUGGCCCGUGACCUAACCUUGUGUACACUUAGAUACCGAACAGGGAGAAAUGGACAUGCCAAAUUCAGGCUGCCUGGUAUAUCAGCUCUACAAUCAGAGAUAAAUGCAAGAAAUGAGCUAGGUCUUGCUACAGAUGAAGGUAUGCAUAUCACAACUUGAUGCUUAAUGAAGUUCAAUUUUGAAAUUAUGUGGUUCUAUAUAGAGACAUAGGGUUACUCAAAUGUAAUUGGAUGUAGUAGUUAGGCUAAUUCCAAGUAUGGUGGAGUUAUUGUGUCCAACAUAUACUAUCAAGCGGACAACCAUGAAAUAGAAAAGUAAACAUUACUUGAAUCGGUAAAAGGUAUUUUGAGUAGAAAUAAUGGAUUGUGAUAUGUAAUUUGGGCUUUUGGUUGUGGGAGUUCGGGCCUAUGGUUUGUGUAAUUUUGACUUUUUCUUAGCGAGCAUAUAAGACUAAGGUUUCUUUCUUAUAAACUUCAUU